rnacentral:rRNA from 1 species
UACGUAGGGUGCAAGCGUUGUCCGGAAUUAUUGGGCGUAAAGAGCUCGUAGGCGGUUUGUUGCGUCGGCUGUGAAAUCCCGAGGCUCAACCUCGGGUCUGCAGUCGAUACGAGCAAACUAGAGUGUUGCAGGGGAGACUGGAAUUCCUGGUGUAGCGGUGAAAUGCGCAGAUAUCAGGAGGAACACCGGUGGCGAAAGGCGGGUCUCUGGGGCAACAACUGACGCUGGAGGAGCGAAAGCCGUGGGGAGCGAACAGG